GCCUGCUCAAUGAAUAAUUUAAAUAGCCGCAGUAAAUUGACUGUGCGAAGGUAGCAUAAUCAUUAGUUUUUUAAUUAAAAGCUUGUAUGAAAGGUAUUACGAGAGAAAUUCUGUCUCUUGUUUAUAAUUAGAACUUUAUUUUUGAGUGAAAAAGCUCAAAUGUUUAUAUAAGACGAGAAGACCCUAUAAAGCUUUAUAUUUAUAUUUAUAUAAUAAUUUAAGUUUUUUGUUUUUUAUAUAAAUUUAAGUAUUUAAUUGGGGAAAUUUAAAGAUUUAAAUAAUUCUUUUUUUAAAAAUCAUUUAUAGUUGUUUAAUUGAUCCAUUAUUAUUGAAUAAAAGAUUAAGUUACUUUAGGGAUAACAGCGUAAUUUUUUUUGAGAGUUCUUAUCGAUAAAGAAGUUUGCGACCUCGAUGUUGGAUUAAAAAAUAAAUUUUUGGGUGUAGAAGCUUAAAAUUUUUGGUCUGUUCGACCAUUAAAUUUU
rnacentral:rRNA from 1 species